rnacentral:miRNA from 1 species
CUAUUAGGUUGGUACAAAAGCAAUCAUGGCUUCUGCCAUUACUUUAAUAGCAAAAAACGCAAUUACUUUUGCACCAACCUAAUAUUU